rnacentral:piRNA from 1 species
UCAUCUAUACACUGGAGUGGAGUGCUUUG